AAUGCGAGGAGCAGUGGAAGUGGUGGUGGUUUGAGAGUUUAAAAGGUGCAAAGUCCAAAGAUUUUCAGAAAGGGAAAAAAUAAAUAAAUAAAUGUGUAGGUAUAUGUAUAUAAGAUAUUUAUAAGAAGGUUCCAGGUAUCAAGGGCCAAGAUCAUGUGACAGACCCAUAAGAUAAGGAGCAAACCUAAGUUAAAAGGUUUUUUUCUUUUUGCUUGCACUUUUUCUCAAAAUUCUCAAACUUAAAAAGAGAGGCAGCCAGGCAUGGUUUGAGAGAUUCAGAGAAAGUCUAAACUAAAGCCUCCAAAAGCAUUACAGUUUCUGAGUUGGGGCUUGGUGGCGCCACUACUACACUUGAACUGGUCCAUCAGUUGAGACGACAAUGUUAAGAGGAGUGAAUACAAGACCGGGCAGAUAUAGUGGGGGGGCCAAAGUGGCUGUUUUCUUCUUGUGGAUUAUGUUGUUUUUUUCUCAGUUGGGUUUGCAUUUCGCUGUUCAUAAACAAGGCAGUCGGCAUAGCUUUCAGUUUAUUAGGUCCCCUCCCCCAAGGAAAGUCUGGUUUUCCGGCGCUGCUAAUUCCUUUCAUGCUCCAUCAAGCUCGCCUCACUUGCCCGGAAAUGAAGGUGAUGAAAAGAGAAUAGUUCAUACAGGCCCUAAUCCUCUUCACAAUUAAGGGGAGAAAGAAAGAAACAAAACCAGUUAGGGUGUAAGUUACUACAUGUUUUGAAAUGCUAAAUGACUGUAAGAAGGAUGAUAUUAUUAUUAUUAUUAUUAUUAUUAUUAGCUUUUGCUUCUUUUCUUGAAUAUUAUUACAGUGAAUGAUGAUGAGAAUAGAGAGCAUUGGCUUUAGCCUUUUCAGUGAUGUUUCUAAAUUAGGGUUCUUUUUUAGGGCAGUGUAAGACAAGGGGAAAGGCUAGUGUUAAUGCCCUUGUUUCUUUUGUUUGUGUUCUUCUUCUUCUUCUUCUUCUUCUCGUGUACUGUACCUUUCUCUCUGUUAAUGCUAAGAUUGAAGACAUCUUUUAAAUUAAAUAGGUUCAGUUCCUUUCA